UAUAGUCUAGCCUGCUCAGUGACAUAAGAAUGUUAAAUAGCCGCGGUAUCCUGACCGUGCAAAGGUAGCAUAAUCAUUAGUUUUUUAAUUGGAAACUAGAAUGAAUGGUUGGACAAGAAAAAAACUGUCUUUUUUAUUAAAAUUGAAAUUAACUUCUAAGUGAAAAGGCUUAAAGAUUUACUAAGGGGACGAUAAGACCCUAUAAAGCUUUAUAAAUUUAAAGAUUCUAGAGAUUUUAUACCUAAAUUUAUUUUUUGAUAGUUUAUUUGGUUGGGGCGACAAAGGUAUAAUUAUGGAUAACUGCCAUUAAUGUUUAUACAUAUAUCUUUGAUUUAAGGCUUAAAUAAUAAUUGAUCCUUUUUAAGGAUUUAAAGAUCAAGUUACUUUAGGGAUAACAGCGUAAUUCUUUCUGAGAGUCCUUAUCAAAGAAGGAGUUUGCGACCUCGAUGUUGAAUUAAAAUGUCUUUAUAGUGCAGCAGCUAUAAAAGAAGGUCUGUUCGACCUUUAAUUUUUUACGUGAUCUG
rnacentral:rRNA from 1 species